UUUUUUCCUCCAUUCCCUUUUCCUUUCGAAAUAGAACUAGGGCAUAAAAACAAAGCUAAGCUUUCCCUUUCCCUUUAGAAACACACCAGCGCCAUUUUCACUUCAAGCAAAAUUGUCCUCCCAUUUGCCGGUGUCAUAGAAGAACCAGUUUGUUGAGACAAUUUGGGAUGCAUUAAGAGCUGCAGUUGAAGCAGACCUAACCCUUGCACAAGCGAUUGUGGAGGGUGCAGGGGUCAUUGUUCAAAGUAGUGAUUUGGCCGUUUGUUAUGAUGAAAGAGAAAUCAAAGAAAGAAUAUACAAGGAGACAUUUAUCUAUUUGAACCUCCAGGUUCCAUCUUAUCAUUAGCUAGCAUUGGAGGAGCAAGUGAUGGACUGAGCAGAAAAUUGAAGCACAAAAUUUGCGAUCAUAGAGUUACAAGUGCAAGCUGAUAAAAUUACACAUACACUCACAGAGAUAGAUAAAGAGAGAGAGAGAGAGAGAGAGAGAGAGAUAUAUAAAUAGAUAGAGAAGCAUUGGUGGUGGUUUGUCCCCCAUUAAUGUAAGUUGCUUCUCUGUACAACAUAGAAAAUAUUUUGCAAACUAAUUUCGCUUUAAUGUAACGAACUUAUCUGAAAACCUUUAGUUGUGCUGUAUUGAAUGAGUUUUACAAUUUUGAACCUUGUCAUUAUGCGCUAUGCUUAUAAUAUUGUGUUAUUUGGUGUGACAGAAAUGUUUGUGUUGCAUGGUUAGAAUGUGAAAUGUGAAAUUAAAACUAUUGUGAAGUUGUGUUUUUGUUUGA